rnacentral:rRNA from 1 species
CCUACGGGAGGCAGCAGUAGGGAAUAUUGCUCAAUGGGGGAAACCCUGAAGCAGCAACGCCGCGUGGAGGAUGAAGGUUUUAGGAUUGUAAACUUCUUUUGUGAGGGAAGAUAAUGACGGUAUCUCACGAAUAAGCACCGGCUAACUCCGUGCCAGCAGCCGCGGUAAUACGUAGGGGGCAAGCGUUACUCGGAAUUACUGGGCGUAAAGGGUGCGUAGGCGGGCUUGUAAGUCAGAUGUGAAAUCCUGUAGCUUAACUACAGAACUGCAUUUGAAACUAGGGGUCUAGAGUGUGGGGGGGGUAGGUGGAAUUCAUGGGGGAGGGGUAAAAUCCGUAGAUAACAAGAAGAAUACUCAGUGCGAAGGCGAGC